GGAUGAAGAACGCAGCGAAAUGCGAUAAGUAAUGUGAAUUGCAGAAUUCAGUGAAUCAUCGAAUCUUUGAACGCACAUUGCGCCCGCCAGUAUUCUGGCGGGCAUGCCUGUUCGAGCGUCAUUUCAACCCUCAAGCCCAGCUUGGUGUUGGGGAUCGGCACAGGCGCCCUCGGGCGCCCGCCGUCCCCUAAAUCUAGUGGCGGUCCCGCUGCAGCCUCCUCUGCGUAGUAGUUUUCUCCUCGCAAGGGCAGCUCGGUGGCGACCUCGCCGUAAAACCCCCAACUUCUGAAAGGUUGACCUCGAAUCAGGUAGGAAUACCCGCUGAACUUAAGCAUAUCAAUAAGCGGAGGA
rnacentral:misc_RNA from 1 species